AUUGAACGCUGGCGGCAUGCCUUACACAUGCAAGUCGAACGGCAGCGGGCCCUUCGGGGUGCCGGCGAGUGGCGAACGGGUGAGUAGUGCAUCGGAACGUACCCGGGAGAGGGGGAUAACCGGCCGAAAGGCUGGCUAAUACCGCAUGAACUCGGAAGAGCAAAGCGGGGGACCUUCGGGCCUCGCGCUCUCGGAGCGGCCGAUGUCCGAUUAGGCUAGUUGGUGGGGUAAAGGCCCACCAAGGCGACGAUCGGUAGCGGGUCUGAGAGGACGAUCCGCCACACUGGGACUGAGACACGGCCCAGACUCCUACGGGAGGCAGCAGUGGGGAAUCUUGGACAAUGGGCGCAAGCCUGAUCCAGCAAUGCCGCGUGGGUGAAGAAGGCCUUCGGGUUGUAAAGCCCUUUCGGCGGGGAAGAAAUCGGUCAGGCGAAUAGUCUGGCCGGAUGACGGUACCCGCAGAAGAAGCACCGGCUAACUACGUG
rnacentral:rRNA from 1 species